GACGAACGCUGGCGGCGUGCCUAAUACAUGCAAGUCGAGCGCAGGAAACUGACGGAACUCUUCGGAGGGAAGGCAGCGGAAUGAGCGGCGGACGGGUGAGUAACACGUAAGGAACCUGCCUCAAGGAUUGGGAUAACUCCGAGAAAUCGGAGCUAAUACCGGAUAGUUCAUCGGACCGCAUGGUCCGGUGAUGAAAGGCGCUUCGGCGUCACCUUGAGAUGGCCUUGCGGUGCAUUAGCUAGUUGGUGGGGCAAUGGCCCACCAAGGCGACGAUGCAUAGCCGACCUGAGAGGGUGAUCGGCCACACUGGGACUGAGACACGGCCCAGACUCCUACGGGAGGCAGCAGUAGGGAAUCUUCCACAAUGGACGAAAGUCUGAUGGAGCAACGCCGCGUGAGUGAUGAAGGUUUUCGGAUCGUAAAACUCUGUUGUAAGGGAAGAACGUGUACGAGAGGAAAUGCUCGUACCUUGACGGUACCUUACGAGAAAGCCACGGCUAACUACGUGCCAGCCGCCGCAGUAAAAC
rnacentral:rRNA from 1 species